GAUGAAGAACGCAGCGAAAUGCGAUACUUGGUGUGAAUUGCGGAAUCCCGUGAACCAUCGAGUCUUUGAACGCAAGUUGCGCCCGAAGCCAUUAGGCCGAGGGCACGCCUGCCUGGGCGUCACACGUCGUUGCCCCCCCAUCUACUCCUUCGGGAUUGCGGGGGGCGGAUGAUGGCCUCCCGUGCGCCUCGCCGCGCGGUUGGCAUAAAUGCCAAGUCCUCGGCGACGCACGCCACGACAAUCGGUGGUUGCGAAACCUCGGUUGCCCGUCGUGUGCGGUCGUCGCGCAUCGAGGGCUCGAAAAAAUUGCCGGGUUCCGGCUCGGCUUUCAACGCGACCCCAGGUCAGGCGGGGUUACCCGCUGAAUUUAAGCAUAUCAAUAAGCGGAGGA
rnacentral:misc_RNA from 1 species